GAUGAACGCUGGCGGCGUGCUUAACACAUGCAAGUCGAGCGGAGUUAAUAAAAGGAAGUUUUCGGAUGGAAUUUUAUUAACUUAGCGGCGGACGGGUGAGUAACGCGUGGGUAACCUGCCUUAUACUGGGGGAUAACAGUUAGAAAUGACUGCUAAUACCGCAUAAGCAUACAGUGCCACAUGGCACAGUGUGAAAAACUCCGGUGGUAUAAGAUGGACCCGCGUCUGAUUAGCUAGUUGGUGAGGUAACGGCCCACCAAGGCGACGAUCAGUAGCCGACCUGAGAGGGUGACCGGCCACAUUGGGACUGAGACACGGCCCAAACUCCUACGGGAGGCAGCAGUGGGGAAUAUUGCACAAUGGGCGAAAGCCUGAUGCAGCGACGCCGCGUGAGUGAAGAAGUAUCUCGGUAUGUAAAGCUCUAUCAGCAGGGAAGAAAUUGACGGUACCUGACUAAGAAGCCCCGGCUAACUACGUGCCAGCAGCCGCAGUAAGAC
rnacentral:rRNA from 1 species